GAUCCUGGUCAGGAUGAACGCUGGCGGCAUGCCUAAUACAUGCAAGUAGAACGCUGAAGGAAGGAGCUUGCUCUUUCCGGAUGAGUUGCGAACGGGUGAGUAACGCGUAGGUAACCUGCCUGGUAGCGGGGGAUAACUAUUGGAAACGAUAGCUAAUACCGCAUAACAGUAGAUGUUGCAUGACAUUUACUUGAAAGGUGCAAUUGCACCACUACCAGAUGGACCUGCGUUG
rnacentral:rRNA from 1 species